rnacentral:tRNA from 1 species
UCUAAUAUGGCAGAAUAGUGCAAUGGAUUUAAGCUCCAUAUAUAAAGGGCUCCUUUUGUUAGAA